UCGAUUCCCUUAGUAGCGGCGAGCGAAACGGGAAGAGCCCAAACCAACAAGCUUGCUUGUUGGGGUUGUAGGACACUCUAUACGGAGUUACAAAGGACGACAUUAGACGAAUCAUCUGGAAAGAUGAAUCAAAGAAGGUAAUAAUCCUGUAGUCGAAAAUGUUGUCUCUCUUGAGUGGAUCCUGAGUACGACGGAGCACGUGAAAUUCCGUCGGAAUCUGGGAGGACCAUCUCCUAAGGCUAAAUACUCUCUAGUGACCGAUAGUGAACCAGUACCGUGAGGGAAAGGUGAAAAGCACCCCGGAAGGGGAGUGAAAUAGAACCUGAAACCGUGUGCUUACAAGUAGUCAGAGCCCGUUAAUGGGUGAUGGCGUGCCUUUUGUAGAAUGAACCGGCGAGUUACGAUUUGAUGCAAGGUUAAGCAGUAAAUGUGGAGCCGUAGCGAAAGCGAGUCUGAAUAGGGCGUUUAGUAUUUGGUCGUAGACCCGAAACCAGGUGAUCUACCCUUGGUCAGGUUGAAGUUCAGGUAACACUGAAUGGAGGACCGAACCGACUUACGUUGAAAAGUGAGCGGAUGAACUGAGGGUAGCGGAGAAAUUCCAAUCGAACCUGGAGAUAGCUGGUUCUCUCCGAAAUAGCUUUAGGGCUAGCCUCAAGUGAUGAUUAUUGGAGGUAGAGCACUGUUUGGACGAGGGGCCCCUCUCGGGUUACCGAAUUCAGACAAACUCCGAAUGCCAAUUAAUUUAACUUGGGAGUCAGAACAUGGGUGAUAAGGUCCGUGUUCGAAAGGGAAACAGCCCAGACCACCAGCUAAGGUCCCAAAAUAUAUGUUAAGUGGAAAAGGAUGUGGCGUUGCCCAGACAACUAGGAUGUUGGCUUAGAAGCAGCCAUCAUUUAAAGAGUGCGUAAUAGCUCACUAGUCGAGUGACACUGCGCCGAAAAUGUACCGGGGCUAAACAUAUUACCGAAGCUGUGGAUUGUCCUUUGGACAAUGGUAGGAGAGCGUUCUAAGGGCGUUGAAGCAUGAUCGUAAGGACAUGUGGAGCGCUUAGAAGUGAGAAUGCCGGUGUGAGUAGCGAAAGACGGGUGAGAAUCCCGUCCACCGAUUGACUAAGGUUUCCAGAGGAAGGCUCGUCCGCUCUGGGUUAGUCGGGUCCUAAGCUGAGGCCGACAGGCGUAGGCGAUGGAUAACAGGUUGAU
rnacentral:rRNA from 1 species